AAAGAGAAACCACAAAUGGCUCAUUAAAUCAGCUAUGAUUUAUUUGGUGAUAUUCCAUGAAAUGGAUAACUGUGGUAAUUCUAGAGCUAAUACAUGCCUCGAAGCCACGACCUCACGGGAAUGGCGCAAUUAUUAGGUCAAAAUCAACCGGACUUCGGUCUGUUCCUUUUGACGACUCUGGAUAAUCCAAAUAGCCACAGUUUAUCGUACGGCCUUGUGUCGACGAUAUUCCAUUCAAAUAACUGCCCUAUCAACAGGUUGGAACCACAUUGUGGUACCGCUGUUAUCACGGGUAACGGGGAAUCUGGGUUCGAUUCCGGAGAGGGAGCCUGAGAAAUAGCUACCACAUCCAAGGAAGGCAGCAGGCGCGCAAAUUACCCACUCCCAGAUCGGGGAGGUAGUGACGAAAAAUAACGAUACGAACUCUCAUCGAGGCUUCGUAAUCGGAAUGAGACAAUUUUAAAUCCUUUUACAAGGACCUAUUGGAGGGCAAGUCUGGUGCCAGCAGCCGCGGUAAUUCCAGCUCCAAUAGCAUAUAU
rnacentral:rRNA from 1 species